CUUCGUGGUCUUUAUAGCUGUUACUCUUUUGUACUUUGUCUUUUUCUUUUAUUUUCUUUUGAGCGAUUGUGCGAACAUAGCAUAGCACGCACUAUGCCUUCUGUGUUGUAGCUGCCUGGCCAGGGCGACUGGCGGAUAAGGUCUUGUGCGUGGCCUCGAGGCUUAAAAGUAGCAGUGGGGCUUUGUGAAGGACAAAAUGGCGAUGGCGGGCCGUGUAGGUCCCCCUUCCUAUGAUGAGGACCUUUUCACAGACCUGUACUGAGCUCCGUGAGGAUAAAUAACUCUGAGGAGAUGGGCCCUGCAAGCCUCUUGCUUAGCCGUCUGUUCAGAAAAUAGCGUUUUCGAAAUGCCCUGAGUUGACCUAAUGUCUUAUUGGGCUCCUGUCUGCAGGAUUUACGCGCACGUUGGAACCGAAGAGAGCUCUGUUGUUGCACAUCUCAUAAUCUAUCCUGGGGAAUUCAGCUGCCUCCCAGGGUGAAUACAGGUAUUCCUGAUGACAGUCUGCCUCUAUCUUACAGUAAGUUGUUUUUCGAAUUCUAUGGGCCUAUUAUCUAAUAGAUAACUUAGCCAUUUUGAUAUUUGUUACCAAAGCCUGCUUAACCCAUAAAGUUUUCUGGUUCCUCUUGUUCUCUGUAGUGAUGUUUCUAGAUAGAUGCCCACUGAUAUAUGCCCCUUUUUUCUCAGAUAGAUGCCCACUGAUCUGCCCAGGGUCAGACGAAUGCUUGUCAGUUGUAGCUUUCCAGGAUUCUGCUCCAAUGAGGAGGAAACAUCCUGCCUUACCCCUGUUUUAGCCUGGGAACCAGUAAUUGUGAACUCACCAGGGUUAACAUGAAGAGGGCAUGAGAGCUUAUUCCAUAAGGAAUUGUCUGAGACAUUUGGUUACCUUUUCUUAGUUUGUCCAUUAGCAACCGUAACUAAAAUAGUUUUGGCUGUUUGGGAUAAUUAGCUAAUUGAAUGAUUUUUUGAUUCAGGAGCAGCUUGUUGCUAUAUACCAUUGAAAAGCCUUCAGAGCUGAGAGGUUAGUUGAUAUUUUUUGUUCCUUACAGCUUAUGCCACCAAGUAGGCAGUUUCUAUGAUGAAUCAAACUAGCUCACUAUGACCGACAGUGAAAAUACAUGAACACCUGAGAAACUGGAGAACGCAGGGAGUGGGGGGUAACCAUGUCUGAGGAAUCUUUCACCCACAGCUUUGUUUUUCUCUAGGUACUACUAACCAAUAACCUGCUUGGCUCAAAGGGCCAGCACCUUCUCUCUAAAGCCCAAGAGGAGUUUGAGGUAAAUGGCUUUGCAAUAGUUACCAUCAAUGGCUGCUAUAUAAAAUUUUCUGUGAUUUUUGUGUGUGAUAGCACUGUGGUCUGGGUGAAUGUACACAGACAUAACUGGCUUAACCCAAAGUCUUUGAUCUCCUGAACCACCAGUGAUGAAUUGCUGCUCACCAGUGAUGAGUUGAAUACCGCCCCAGUCUGAUCAAUGUGUGACUGAAAGGUAUUUUCUGAGCUGUGAGCCUGCCUUCCAGUGACAUGUUCUAAAAAUUGCAAGUUAUUUGAGGAGGCUUUACAGCCAAUAGGAAGUUCUUGGGCUAAGUAGUGUUUCCUAUAAAAUGUGCCCUGAAACUUCUUUCUGCCAAGCAAUAGAUACAAUUGAGAGAUUGUAAAAUGUGACAUAGAAUGAAAGUCUCUCAAGACUACAUUUUUCUUUCUUGAUUUUGCAGGAAAACUAGGUGUCUGUGUUCACUCCAGGCUGAAGUUACAGGUCUGAGCAAAUAAGGUGUAUAAAAAAUGGAAUCUGUCUUGGAGGACAUCAGAAGGUGAAUUUUCCAAGUUCUUGGACAACCUAGCUGUUGAAAAGCUUUCUGGGUUUGGGGGGUAUUUCAGAUGUACCUUAAAGUGUUAGCAGACACAGAUUAAGACACUGGGAGCCAAUGAAACAGCAGUUGAGGGUUUGCUGUGUAUCACAUUUCUGUAUUUUAUCACCCCCUUCCUGCAACAUUAUUUAUCUGGAAUCUACCUGCCCUUUUGUUUUUUAGAUACAAGGGCUUGGUUUUGUUACCCAGGCUGGUUUCAAGGCCAUAGCUUUAAGAGAUCCUCUCACCACAGAUUUCCAAAGUGCUGGGAUUGCAGGUGUGAUUCAUGGCACCCAGACUUUGCUGCCUUUCUUACAUGAUCCAGGCCCAGAACCCAAACUCAGGCACUGUAUAGAUGACCACUUUCGUAAACUACUGACCUAGCUUGUUGCCAAUUGUUGAUUGAACUUCCCAUAACUCCACUUCGUGUCUGUUCCUCUGUAUACAGCCACCUUCUGUUCCCGUCAUGAGCCUUUAGGUCUCCAUUUGCAUAUUGCAAAUACUAUGUUCCAUGUAGGUAGCUCAUUCAGGGCCUUGCUCUUCACUUCAAAAAAGGUUCCCUUGAGGACUGGCUGUCAAUUUGUGUUGCUGUGUUGGUUGUUGAUGAAAAUAAU
ensembl:lncRNA SNHG1 small nucleolar RNA host gene 1